CAUUAUUGUGAAGCGCCUUCAUUGUUGGUAUAAAUUGCCAGACAAUUUGAAGGAAGGUAUAGGUGUGUUUAAAUUUCGACUGAUCUCACUUGGCUAGAAGAAAGUAUAGCAAAAAUUGGAAGAGACACAGGAGCAAAGCAUGUAAGUAUAUUUAUUAGUAUUGGACUACUUUACAAAGCAUUACUUGCGUCUGUUGGGUGAGUAUUGACUAUUUUUAUUGACUACGUUUAUUGAGUAUAUGGACUACUUUUAGGAAUGCAGCAACAGCCCUGCUUUACACACUUUGCGCAAAAGCGCUUGUACCAACAAACCUACACACAAUGUAACAUGCUGUUAGUUCUCCCAAAAAUUAACCAAAGGUCAGUUCAGCACAACUGUGGCAUCGUAAUUCUUACGUUGAAAUUCAUUACCGCGAAUUACCGCGAAACCCAUAUCGCUGAGUCUUGCUUCUCAAUUUACAGGAAUGGCGGGCAGUUUUGAUUUUACUUUUGUCGAUAGCCACGCAAAGGGACAUAUUACAAAAUUCCACAAAUCUGCACACCGUAGACGUGGUGUACAAACCACUCCACUUCAGCAUCUUCGACCAGCCAUUUGGUACAAACAUUUGUUAUAAAUAUAAGUGUAUACGGGCGCCUGUGGUGGGGGAGAAAAGGGGAUGCUGAAAAUAAAUAUAAAAUUUGGCAAAAAAUACGGGUGGAAUAAAUUUAAAAACGAGAAAUGUGUAACAUAAUGAUCGAAAAUGCAAAGAUUUCAGAUUAUAGCGGUAAGUUAAAAAAAUUCCCUAGCCAUCCCCCGCCUAUAGUUUUCCUCCUCCCGUUCGCCUUAUGAUUACAAAUGUCUUACACGGGAAUUGCAGAAACUGACCUAAGGAAUUAAUUUAAUUAAUUCAAUGUAUUAAUUUAGGACGUCAAAACCGUCUCAAGUGAUAUUUAUUAUGGUUUUGGUUCUUUAUGUGAGCACAAGCGCCAUGGAAUUGCGGAAAAGAGGUAGCUGUGAGAAUAUAUGCGCUGGAAAACAUCGUCCUUGCUUUCGAGCCUGUGUUGGAAUUGAAGCAUGUGAGCCGUGUCGUCAGGCCAUGGCAGCAUGUGUUCAUGCAUGCCCCUCAAGAAAAAGAAAUCUGAAAGCAUCGACUCGAGCAUUUGAAGAUUCCUUAUAUUUUGAUCACUAAUUUUCCCUUAUUGACAAUUGUCAAUGAGAACUUAGUUUUGGAACAAAUGACAAUAUAUAAUUAUGAUAUUUCCUCGGAAUAGUUA